UCGCGGCUUAUCACCGGCAGUCCCCUUAGAGUGCCCAACUGAAUGAUGGCAACUAAGGGCGAGGGUUGCGCUCGUUGCGGGACUUAACCCAACAUUUCACAACACGAGCUGACGACAGCCAUGCACCACCUGUGCUACACCCUCGAAGGCGACUGCUUUUCGGCGGCUUGCAGUUGCAUGUCAAGCCCCGGUAAGGUUCUUCGCGUUGCAUCGAAUUAAGCCACAUGCUCCACCGCUUGUGCGGGCCCCCGUCAAUUCCUUUGAGUUUCAACCUUGCGGCCGUACUCCCCAGGCGGUGCGCUUACCGCGUUGGCUACGACACUGAGACCCUAGGGGUCCCAACAUCCAGCGCACAUCGAUUACGGCGUGGACUAC
rnacentral:misc_RNA from 1 species